CACGAAGUUGUAUUUUUGUUCCUCUUACAAUUUUCCUUCGAUCCAGAUUGAAUUGACACAAAUGAGGACUGAAUAUCUUAAAGAUUAUUAAGUCUCUUUUAUAGUCGAUCGGAUGUAUGCAACACAACUUCAGUUUUCAGGUAAACUGCAAGUAUCAAUUAUUACUGUUCCGUAAUUUUUCGCUGUCACUGCUGCACAUGCAGGGUUGUACCGAACUCAGAGAACGUAAAUUAUAUACGUUCUCUGCCGAAGUAAUCUGGCAGUGCUACCAUAUUUUAUUACGCUACCUGCUGUUAACGAUGCCGCGCACUAUUUUUUGACGGCGCCGAAACUUUUCAUAUUAUUAAAUAAAAUUAUUAGGAUGUUAAAUAUUUUUAUAACUAAUUUUAUAUAAUAUGCAA